rnacentral:snoRNA from 1 species
AUACAUCUCUGGCAGACCUGGAACAGUUAAUGUCUGCUGCUAAGUUUUCCACUAUAGAUGCAAGAAAAAGAAGGUCCUCGUGCUGUCUCCCUGUCUAGUUGUGGCAGUUAAGACUGACUGGGGGACUACAACA